AGCCUGAGAGGCAGAAACUGAUAGUUUGAAGCAGUAGAGGGGUUAAGGGUACUGACAAUAACAUACAGGUAAGAAGUUCAGACCUGUUUAUGGAAGUCAUGGUUUAGUGGCUUACAGAAUGACGAACUCUAAAAACUUCCAGCAUGAAAGACUUGUCAGAUGACAUGAAAGUCACUGAUUAACGUUACCUACUGAACGCUAACUGCUCACGUAAAUCCUAUGCAUGGCGUUACUUAAAGGAACCGCGUUUGAAAGAAUAAACAGACUAGCUAACUAACUUACAAUAGUUAACAACGGCUGCAGUCGGCUGUGUUUACAACUCCAUAAACCAGUGAUGGCUGUACUGGAUAACGUUAGCUAGUGUAUCUUUACGGUAGUCAUCUGUCUCAUCUUGUAUCUGAUUGAGGGACAUAUUGGCAGUAGGUAGGGAGAUCAUUUGAUUAGAACCAGCCUGUUAUAGAUAGCUAACUAGUUAGAACUAUUCACACUAGCUAGCAAUUAGCUGGCUAAAGUUAGCAAAAGGCUAACUAACAGUUAGCUACUGUAGAUAAUGACGUUUCGCCAGUACAGGCGGGAUCAGUCAGCGGCGGCAUCCCAUAUGCGUAAUUCAUUUGCAGUCUGGACGCGGAGGGGUGAACAUCUCCUGCUCUGACUGCAGCUGGGAGGGACUGCUACGCGAGGACGGGCCGCCUAUGGGGCUGCCAACUUAAACCAAAAGUCUUUGACUUCCAUAGAGUCUCCAUGACCAACUACUUCACUGACAACUGGGACAGAAGAAUAACUUCCAGGCCAGGCUGGAUUACAUUCUCUAUGUCUGAUGUUGAUGUUUCAUUAAAGACAGUGUUUGGGUUCGUGAA